UACGUAGGGUGCGAGCGUUGUCCGGAAUCAUUGGGCGUAAAGAGCUCGUAGGCGGUGUGUCGCGUCGGCCGUGAAAACCUGGGGCUCAACUCUGGGCGUGCGGUCGAUACGGGCAUCACUUGAGUUCGGCAGGGGAGACUGGAAUUCCUGGUGUAGCGGUGAAAUGCGCAGAUAUCAGGAGGAACACCGGUGGCGAAGGCGGGUCUCUGGGCCGAUACUGACGCUGAGGAGCGAAAGCAUGGGUAGCGAACAGG
rnacentral:rRNA from 1 species